UACGUAGGUGGCAAGCGUUAUCCGGAAUUACUGGGCGUAAAGCGCACGCAGGCGGCUCUUUAAGUUUGACGUGAAAGCUCCCGGCUUAACUGGGAGAGGUCGUUGAAAACUGGAGGGCUUGAGGCAAUGAGAGGGGUGUAGAAUUCCCGGUGUAGUGGUGGAAUGCGUAGAUAUCAGGAAGAACACCCGUGGCGAAGGCGGUUCUCUGGGACGGUACUGACGCUGAGACGCGAAAGCGUGGGGAGCGAACAGG
rnacentral:rRNA from 1 species